AUAAGUAUAAUUAUUCUAAUGACUGAGCUCUUCAGGUUCCACAGAAUUUCCUUACAGAGCAGUGUUAUGUUUGUCCAUUAUUGGCCUAAUCCUGCACUUCUUACUCAAAGGUUGAGUGUUAAACAACCUGCAUAUAAACUGUCAAAAUAGCUGUUGCAUAAAUAACCUUUUCUAUGCACAGCCAUUGUUUUCACUAUGUCUGUCUAUAACCUCUGCCCUCUCUGGGAGUUUGGGAGGGCACCCACUGCUCUCUAGGGCAGUCUGUGCCCCUUCCAGCUCUGUCAGUAGUGGGCUGAGGAGGUGUUCCUGCACCUUUCUCAUGCUGGUAAUCACCUUCAUCCAUUUGAAUUCAAAGGUCCUGAAAGCAGGUGAAAGAGAAAAUAAUGAAUGGAGAAGAAGCUGAAAGAUGGAGGUUUCUCUGCGAGGCUUGUCCUUAAGGUGUUGCCACGUUAAAACAAAAAACAAGACAGUGUUUUAUCCUGGUGUUGUUUGUGCCUGGCUGCAGUCAUUGCAGCCACAUUCUCUGUGAGAGGCUCUUCUGACUGAGACAGAUGUAACAGAGGUCGAGUUAGGCUGGUGUGUGUAUAUGCACACACCCGAGUGGAGAGAGUCAUGUUACUCUUUCAGUUACUGAAAUUGUAUUUUUGGCAGCAACUGUACUACUGUUCCAGCAGAGUCUAGCUUUGUCACCCUUUUUCUGGGUUUUCCUUUUGAAAGAGGUUCCAAAGGAAGCUCUGUGCUUUUACUCUUGGUUAAGUCCUAGUCAGGUCUGUGGCUAUACUAAUGCAAACAGCACUUUUUUUCUGAUCACAUACAUGUGAUUCUCUGGGAUUCUAACUUGAGAAAAGCUGAUAGUAAUGCUUAUCUUCUACAAGGUUUGUUGGAACUACUGCAGGUUGAAAUUGCUGUCAGUGGGAGAGCUGGGACUAAUGAAUAAAUUCUCAAUUUGCUCAAGAUGUCUGAACAAGACUACAUAAUUUAUUACUUUAUUGCUUAAGAGAAUUCUUGCCAGGCUUUUGAUAUGCAGGUGCAGUACUAGAAUUAUUCUUUGGAGAUAAGAAAAAUUUCCAGGACAGACAUGUCAGACGGAGACAUGGAAUGCUGAUACAUUUUGAGCCAGACAUAUGUGACCUAUGCAAAUGAACUGCAGUGCAAUCCACUGAACAGACAGCGGACUGAGAAUGAAUAGGUAUGUGUUCUGCUCUUUGCUUCUGGCUCACAGGAGAUCAUCUUAUGUUCAUAUCCCCCAUAUGAAUCGUGAUGCUCACGCCCCAUGCACCCUUACUGAGAUUAGCUGGUAACAAGCCCAGAGAUCUGUGUGAGGAGAACUUUCCCUUGUGAGAGCUGAAACAAUAAAAGGCUUGUUAUUCUGAAGUGGACAGCGAGCAAAGAGCAGGCAGAGCAUAUCCAACUCUAGCUGCAAGCUGUGAAGGUGGUUGGUGGUCCCCAGUACUCUUAACUUUUCAUCCUCUUGGGGUCAUACAUCUGAGAGAGCUGCAUGUGGACAACCUAAUUAAUCGACAUCAGACCUUGUGCUCUGUGCUUGGCUGGCUGUGUUGAGCUGCAGGAGAAAAAGCACACAGAGAGGCAGGAGGGGAACUCUUUCCACCUGAUUGAAGAAGGAGAAGAGAAGGCUAGAAGGAUUGGGCAGUUUGGGUAAAGGAGGCAGAGCUGCCAGAGUUCUGUGGAACACAGGGGAGGAGGAGGUUCAGGGGGGUGGUAGUGUUGCACACAGCUACCAGGGGAUUUACCUUGGAGCCUGAUGGCAUUACUUUCAGCUUGGCUUUUUUCCACCUCAGCCAGCUGGGCAUUGGCUUCAGACAGCUUAUCUUUCAGCUUGUGAGCGUGAGCAUCUGAGUCCAAUGGUAAGAAUGGUUAGUCAUAUGAUGCUGAGUAAGGCUUGAAGAGCUACAGUAUCCUCCCUCCCCUGCAAACUCAGUUGAUUUCUGUUGGUUGUAAUUAGAAUGAGAUGACUGUAGUAGGCAGGGAGAGUGCAAAUUGGUCUGAUCUUUAGAGAGGGGAGAUGCCUGUUUUGUUAGCCAUGCUGGGCAGUGUUUGGCAUCAGUCUGCAAAUGGCUGCUUUGUGGUAUCAGCUGGCUCACAUCUGUCUUGUGCUGUGGAUCUUGGAGGUGCUUUAUAAGAAAGGCUUCUGCAAGGCUUUUAUUUAGCCUUCAUAGGCUCUUUAUCUGAGUCAUAUCCAUCUUUGGUGCUGCUCUGUUACAGGGUUGGUAUCUUUCAGAACAGUUAACCAUCUUCACGCCUCAUUGCUAAAGCUCACCGUUGAUCU
ensembl:lncRNA